AAAUUGAAGAGUUUGAUCAUGGCUCAGAUUGAACGCUGGCGGCAGGCCUAACACAUGCAAGUCGAGCGGUAGCACAGAGAGCUUGCUCUCGGGUGACGAGCGGCGGACGGGUGAGUAAUGUCUGGGAAACUGCCUGAUGGAGGGGGAUAACUACUGGAAACGGUAGCUAAUACCGCAUAACGUCGCAAGACCAAAGAGGGGGACCUUCGGGCCUCUUGCCAUCAGAUGUGCCCAGAUGGGAUUAGCUAGUAGGUGGGG
rnacentral:rRNA from 1 species